GAUGAAGAACGCAGCGAAAUGCGAUAAGUAAUGUGAAUUGCAGAAUUCAGUGAAUCAUCGAAUCUUUGAACGCACAUUGCGCCCGGCAGUACUCUGCCGGGCAUGCCUGUUCGAGCGUCAUUUCAACCCUCAAGCCCUGCUUGGUGUUGGGGUCCCACGGCCGCCGUGGGCCCUGAAAGGAAGUGGCGGGCUCGCUACAACUCCGAGCGUAGUAAUUCAUUAUCUCGCUUAGGGCGUUGGGCGGCGCUCCUGCCGUUAAAGAACCAUCUUUAACUCAAGGUUGACCUCGGAUCAGGUAGGAAUACUCGCUGAACUUAAGCAUAUCAAUAAGCGGAGGA
rnacentral:misc_RNA from 1 species